CUUUACUAGAUUUAAAACACCCUGCUUUUAUCCCACUUAAAUCACAAAUAGUUAAAUACUUAUACUAAUGAAGGCUGUGAUACCCAAAUCUCAGAACUGUUACAUAUUAUUGAGUUUUAAGAAACAAAAUGUUUAAAAUUUUUACAGCAUUAGCUACACUGUACUGAUGAGUCCCCAAAAGGAUGAAAUAGCAAUUUAUAAUGCAUUCUCUCUUUCUGUG
rnacentral:lncRNA from 1 species